GACCGCGUAGCUCAGUUGGUAGAGCAUUGGGCUAGUAUUCCAAAGGUCGUAGGUUCGAUUCCCACCGUGGCCA